rnacentral:rRNA from 1 species
UACGGAGGGUGCGAGCGUUGUCCGGAUUUAUUGGGUUUAAAGGGUGCGUAGGUGGCUAUUUAAGUCAGUGGUGAAAUACAGCCGCUCAACGGUUGAGGUGCCAUUGAUACUGAAUAGCUUGAAAGAAUUGGAGGCUGCCGGAAUGGAUGGUGUAGCGGUGAAAUGCAUAGAUAUCAUCCAGAACACCGAUUGCGAAGGCAGGUGGCUACGAUUUAUUUGACACUGAGGCACGAAAGCCAGGGGAGCGAACGGG